CCUCGUAGGUCUGAGGAUCAAUAUCCUCAACAUCCUCUCCUCUAAUAUGUCCCACAUAUCUCUCAGGAGGAUAGGAUACUCUAUCAGACCUACGUAAAGUUGAAACUUGUGUAUUAGGUACCUGAACAGACUCGGACUGUAGAGUGGUGCUUGAACUUGGUUCUCCAACCUCACUCAACUCUAUCAUUCUCCCAAUAUCACCGCCAAGAA
rnacentral:lncRNA from 1 species